AGCCUUCCUGGGCUGAAAAGUCCGUAGCCUGCAGUUGGAUGGCCAGCCACAUGUGGAUGCUGACAGCUAUGCAUUAUUCACACAAAUGGGGCUAGUAAGUGCCACUUGGUACAGCCUGGAAUCUUUGGAGGGCUGUUCCGAGAUUGGAAACAAGUUCUGUUUAUGCUGAUGUGUGCCUUUGUUGGACUUAUGCUCCUUCCUUGCUUAAUUCCCAUAAUUCAGUCUAUAGUAACUUGCACUAUUGAAGGUAUGAUGGUGGUUACAACCAACCCAAAGAAACCUGAUGACCCGGCAAAAACCCUGGUACUCAGAUGUGUCCCAAGGGAAUGCUCUUCCUUGCUUCAAUGACAACCCAUGGAGGCCACCUCCAGGGUUGCAUAUAUGAAAAGGGAGGAAAUGAAGGAGCCUGAUUAGCUUAACUAACAUUAUUUAGUUCUAGCUAAACUAACGCUAUUUGCUUUUGUAGAAAGCUGCUUGCUUGAAAGCUUGGUUAGCUCAAUUAAUGUCAUUUGGUUUUUGUAUAACUGCUUGCUUUGGAGAAGAAAAAGGAGGGGGCUAAAGAAUGUUGAUAAGGUAAGACAAAGGGGUAGUGUAAAGAAGAGGACCCCCCAGAGAAAGGGGUAGUGUGAAGAGGAGGACUCCCUACGCAAGGCCUGGCACGCCGUGAUCACGCUCCGUCUGUGAAGGGAUUGGAUGGAGAGAGCCUCUUCCCCGAGGACAGGCAUGCAGUGGACAUGCAGACCCCGUAAGGGGAUUGGGCAAAGGGUCAGGCAGACCCUGGGAGGUGAUUGGAUGAGGGAACAAUGGGGGUGAGAUUGUGUGGGGGAAAAAGUAAGAAAAAGAAAAGCUAUAAGAAGGAUGUGUUGAUGGAAUGUGGGGUGUUGUUGCUUCCCAGCUGAAUCAAAGAACCAAAUGAAUCUCCGCCUUGCUGAACCUUAUUGGCAUUUGGUUUAGAGGUCUGUACGUCACCUGGCUAGCAGGGACAUCAACAAUACAGAGCUGCAAUAGUGCGCAGGGGAGUUUCUGGGAGAAAGUGGCAUGUUGGUAAAUGAGUAAGAAUCCUUCCUUCCGUUCAUGGCUGGUCCUGUUAUGCAGCGAAGUAUAACAACACCUGCACUAUGCAGGGCAAGGACACAAGCAAAGGCUGGGACUGGGUUUCUGAAUGGUGCAAAAAGACUUUUUCAAGUGCUGACGUUAGCAGGGGACGGGGCAUUUGGGCUCCACAGGCAGCAAAAUGCCUUGGGGUGGCACUGCUCCUGCAUGUCACUACUAAUCGUCUUUAAUCCUGUCUCCUGUUCCCACACCCACCACUUUCCCAGAGCAGAGUGGUAUUGAGAAGGACACUUUAGAUCACAUAAGUGCUAGUGGUAUAUUUGUAUAAAGAAUGCAUGCAACACCUUGGUUUGAUCAUUUUGAUACACUUGAAUACUGUAUUUGAAAGUAUAGAGGUCAAAUCCAUAUUGCUGUCAGUAGUAUUUGCAUGAGAGGAAAUUAAAGAUAAAUACCCAAUGAAGCAAGCAAAAAGACGAACUGACACAAUGGGCAGGUUAGCGUGACACAACAAGCAAUGGGAGGAUUUGGGUUUUUUUAAUCUUUGUUAAUCUGCUGUGUCAUCUGAACUCCAUCAUGGUAUUUCAGCACAGCACACUGUGCUUUUAGAAACCACAAACAGGAAUAAUAGUUUGUUGUAUGGUAUCUUGGUACCACAGCGCCUUAAUGUGUUGUCUGGAAAACACAGCUCAUUGUAGAACCAAGGCCAACACCAUAGAGCCACCUAGCAAGAGCGCCCGUCACUGCUCUUGUGAGGUAAGUAGCCGGAGUACCACUGCAGUUUUGCCACACUUUGCCUGUCUCCUGCCCUAAAGAUGAUCUUUGGGGCAGAAGUGGAUGAUCAGCUAGUUGGCACUGGGAAAGGAGUAGUGUCACUCAGCUGAUUCCUCUACUGCCCCUCCCAUGCAAGUGCUGCUGGGAUAUCACCUGGAGGACUGAGAGGGAGGGAGAUGGCGGGAGGGAGAGUUACCGCAGUGAGCCUGAUCAUCUGUAAGGUGCAUCUACUUAAAAAAUUGUGACGCAUGGAAAUUAUAGAGUCACGUGUAGUGUAGUGUGAACCCAGCCAAUAACAAAGCUGUCAUUCAUAUUUCCAUAAAACUGACUUAUUGUACUAAGUUAGACAAUUGAUCAGUUGGUUAAUCAAUUUGAUCAACUGUUGAUUCUGACUGGCAGAAUUUUUCCAAGAUCUUUGCUAGGAGACCCACCUAGUAGUGCUACUGAAGUUCCUUUCUCCUGGAGAUUGGACAUGGGACUAUCUACAUCUAAAUCAUGCGUACCAGAACUGAACUAGUGCUCCUUUCCAGAUGUUUUCUGAAGAUAAAAAAAUCAGCUUGCCAUCAUCAGAAAGAAAGGAAGAUUUAAACCACUGACCCUAUCACUAUAACAAUGAAAGCACCACAUGAAGCCCAAACCCCAUGUAUCUUGUUUUUUAUUUUGGGUAAGUAAACAUGCUUAGUAUCACUGUGCAAGUCUAGAAUUGAGACCAGGGCGGUGAUGCUAACCAUUUAGCUGAAAUAGCUUCAGUGGAACUUAACAGGGCUUUUGACAGGCCUGUGUUUCUAAGGAUUGCUGUUUCAUUGCUAGCCAAACUCUUCCAGGACCCUGCUUAGUAAGCACUGGCUAGCCACCAUUUCUUGGACUAAAUUCUUCCAUUUGUAAAAUGGGAGUAGUUAUGAUUUCUUCAUUUGGGUCAGAAGACAAUUAAAUAUGAGUAAAGAAGACUUUGGCCCAUUUAGAGACAUACAUAGGCCUAGAUGCUUGAAAAAAGUCCUGUGCAUGCAAUUCCAGUUUCAAUCAAUGAAACUGGCAAGUGUUUCAUCAAACAUAAUGUUGCACAAUGCUAUUUUAAUGUAUUAACUGCUCUACAAGUACUUUCAUGUGGCAUAAAAUCAACCAAGUUAGCUACACCCAUAAUUAUCCAGAUUCUUAGCGUUCACAUCUGAAAGCAUUUGUCCUUUGAUAAAUACACUGUGGUUGCUUGGCUGGCCCCUUGGUAGCCUUGUGAGAAAUAUGAAGUAGGACUGAUCAGAUAAAUAUAACCCAGAUGGAGUGAGAUGCAUAGCAAGCAAGGUUAGUCAGGCUCCAAAAGGGAAGGGUGAUUGGCUUGAGAUCCUAGUCUAAAGUGCAGUGCUUGGGUUUGAUUAAUUUUAUAUAGUUUAGUUCUAAAUUGCAUAGCAGAGACUGACUUGGUACCAAUAUAAUGCAUGGAAGUCCACUUAUGCAAAAGCACCUCUGUGCAUUUUUUCUUUCCCUCCUCCUGGUUCUGGUCCUUUGGGGGAAAUCUGUUUUAUCAGUGGUUUUCCUUCCUCUGACAAAACAUCACGAUUAGAUACAACCUUAAAGCAGUUAUUUUUCUUUAUCAUUUAUUUUAGUAAUAUUAACAUUGAGCCCUUAUAGGAGGGCUAUAAAUCAGGAGGAACAGGAAAUUCAAACAAAAGAGAUGUGAAAAAACUUCUUUUGCAAUCACACUCAAGUUGAAUAAUCCACAGAAGAGAAGAGAAACUUAGAUGUUUUAUUUUAAGUCUUGGCCUGAGUUGGUAACAAUAUUUAUAGCCAACUGUUAUUGUGGGUGUCUGGCAACAGUAGUUUACACUCAGACAUCAAUCUUCAACUUUUUCCCUGAAAACUACUAGAUGUGUGGUGAUGGCUCCAGUUUGCUAGAAUUGCCACCAAUGCUCCUUGU